rfam:Fulmarus glacialis contig78841, whole genome shotgun sequence.
CAAAAGCCUUUUUUCAAAGCCACAUUUUCAUUUUAACACAUAUUUU